UGAGGAGGAAUUGGAAGUUUGUCGGCUUAGGCCUGGUGUCAUUCCAUCAAUGUUAAACUUCCCGGCUCAUCUUGGAAGAGUACGUGCCAGAAAGACCACGACCAAGCAGCCUUGAGAUCUUAGGCAGCGUCUCCCUGAGGUCCCUCUCUAUCUCCCCACACAUCCACCAACCACUGGAACACAUCUCCAAAGUUCUGCUGGGCCAGCUCAGCUUCCCCUCAGAAGAAGUGCUGCCACCUGCCAGAUGAAGGAGCCUUUUGAGAGGCAGCUGGCAUCGUGAUUGGACUGUACUUUGGUCUGUUCCAAUCCAGCUUCAGCUCCAGAGACGGCAGGUGGGACGAGUCAACGGAGGCCUGGUGGACGAAGGCAUGCAGCUGAGUACAAUCCAGAAAACAACAGAGGAGGAGUGCAGUGGCCCAGAGCCAGAACAAACAGAGUAGCAUCAUAUGUCUCUUAGAAAACAUCAUAGUAUAGCCUUUGGUAUGAAAAAACGCCAUCAUAUACAUCGUAUAUUGUACAAAUAACAAGUCAAAGGAAAGAGACAUACAUUGUAGAAUUGUAGUAAUUGUGGGCUGACUGAUUUACUGAUUAUCAGUAUUUUAUUUUUUACUGAUUUAUGGUAAUAAAUACAUUUAAAAAUG